CAAAGUACUUUGAAGAGAGAGUUAAACAGGGCGUGAAACCGCUAGCUGGUAAACGAGUGGAGCCACGAAGUCGUUUCGUAGAAUAAGGGAUACAAAUUCAGUUGAGGUUAUCGCAAGAUGGCUUUAAUGCAUUUUUGUUUUUCCCUCUAUGUAUGCGUACACUGCAACCAAUUAGACAAUCAAUUGUGGAAACAAUUAGCCGAUAUAGGGAGAAAUCUUUGUAUUGGUUAAUGAAAUGCUUAUAUACUAGCUAUAGGUAGCUUGAUUUAAUCCUUGUGGUUAUCUUGAGUGUCUGAUAUGCUAGUAUGAGAACUACAAUUGAAUACUGAUUGGCACAAUGAAAAUCCAUUCGCAAGAAUGGUAUUUAGAUAACACUACCUGUGUUGUAUGUGUGUACAAGUGUUUAUUAUUAGCGUAAGCUUGAUAGUUUUAAAUUUAGACUAGUGGGCUAUCUUGAAUUUCGGUUCUUGAUGCCUAUUUAGCUUUCUAUCUAAUUGGCUAUCGACUUUGCUAGUAAUGUUAUACUUGUUAUGAUAGCAUACAUGCAACAAUGGGCAAGUUAUAUUAUUAGCAGUGAGUAGGUCGGCUUUCCACACGACCCGUCUUGAAACACGGACCAAGGAGUCUAGUUAAGUAUCGAGUUGAUCGGUCUUGAUUAGGCCAGAAUGGGAAUUUCGUAUUCCCGAUUGAAAGCAAAGUGAAAUCAAAUUAUGUGAUCCUAUCUCCUUCACAAAAGGACUAGGCGCAACAUAUACCCACUCGUAUAACUAUACGCGCAAGUGUUAGUUGGGUGGAGUAAAGAGAUACUUGACUGGUACC
rnacentral:rRNA from 1 species